CUGCCACAUGUAGCUCACCACUGUCGUUAUCAUCACCACCCUUUCCAUUAGUAUUAGUUAACAUGCUUGUGUUGUGACAACUUCCACUGCCACUGCCACCAAUGAUAAUCCACAUGCAUAUUCAGCAGCUGUAAGCAAGGUUCUUGAUCACUUUCAGUGUCUCCAAGAAUUGUGUGGCAGGAUUCUGGAAUGUUGAGGAUAGUGCCAGUAAUCUACA